GGUUACUUCAGAGCGGAUACCAAGGACAGCUAAACUACAGGCACAGUGAUGGUUCAUACAGCACAUUUGGCUACGAUGCAUCCAAUACAUGGUUGACCACCUUCGUCAUGAGGUCUUUCGGCCUAGCAAGGCGUUUCAUCUUCAUUGAUCCCAGUGUCCUCCAGAGUGCACAGGAUUGGUUGAUCAGCAAGCAGGGUUCAGAUGGCUGU